GGAUUGACAUCCUACGAAUCCCCUUGAAAGAGGGGAGUGCCUUCGGGAACGUAGAGACAGGUGGUGCAUGGCUGUCGUCAGCUCGUGUCGUGAGAUGUUGGGUUAAGUCCCGCAACGAGCGCAACCCUCGUCCUUAGUUGCCAUCAUUAAGUUGGGCACUUUGAGGAGACUGCCGGUGACAAACCGGAGGAAGGUGGGGAUGACGUCAAGUCAUCAUGCCCCUUACAUCCUGGGCUACACACGUACUACAAUGCAACGGACAAAGGGCAGCCAGCUAGCGAUAGUGAGCUAAUCCCAUAAACCGUUGCUCAGUUCAGAUUGCAGGCUGCAACUCGCCUGCAUGAAGGCGGAAUCGCUAGUAAUCGCAGGUCAGCAUACUGCGGUGAAUACGUUCCCGG
rnacentral:rRNA from 1 species